GAAACAUUCACGAGUGUACAGACAUCUGCACGCGCAUACAGCAUAAUGUGUGAACCAGGCGUCUUAUCUCUGCUGAAUGCUGACCUGGGAUUAGCUCCUUUGGGGCUAUGGAGACCUGACUUAGCGGAGAAAGGAUUUCUAUUUAAAGCACAAACGUGCAGGGCCUGUUCAAAAUCAUCUGCCAAGAAGCAGGGAGCACACCGGGACAGCAGCCAGAAACCUAAAGCCAGAACCAGAUUAUGCUGGCAAGGGGAGGUGAAGAGGAGUAACAGGAAAACUUGUUCAUGAGGUCAUCGCUCUAUUCAGACAUAUUACCCUGUAUGUGCUCCAGGUGUCUAUACCCAGAUGGAUUACUGCAUGCGGCCACUGCUGUCAGGGCAGUUGAAUCUGCAGCUGGAUGUCGGGGACUCUGCAGAUAUGUCUGUGGGGGCCUAAAACACUAGCAGCUUUAAUGCGGUGGUGCCACUUUUCAAACAUGUACCCGUGGAAACAGGUAAAAGAACUACAAUCUUGAAUGAAACUUAAAGAUGUGCAACACACACAAUGUAACUGAUGGGAAGUCCGUCAGACUUUGGAGGAAUGGAAAACAUUGUUCCAAGAGGAGACAAUAGGUUAAAAAGUAAGUUUCUACAAGACACCUGUCUUUUCAAGCAACCUGGAAUCUGGAUUUUAGCUAUUGUAGUAGGUGAAAUGUCACCGAGCUGCAAAUGCACAACUCUGAAGAAUCAUUUUACUUGCCAGAACUGGGAACUGAAUUACUUCCCUGAUAGCAUUUACAGCAUGUGAAUUUGAGAAGCAUGUUGGUCUCAAGAGGCACUUACCUUGCAAGAUAAAGCAAGAGGAGCAGCAGCUGGUAUUAAAGCGGGGUAGUUGUUUUGCCUUCAUUGAGGAGUUCUACAUUUUGCAGUUAAUACAAUUCCUUACCUUUAAAGGGGGUUAAAGCUUUGUAUGAAUCAUAUUUUUGACAAACUCAUUAU